rnacentral:rRNA from 1 species
AUUGAACGCUGGCGGCAGGCCUAACACAUGCAAGUCGAGCGGAUGAAGGGAGCUUGCUCCUGGAUUCAGCGGCGGACGGGUGAGUAAUGCCUAGGAAUCUGCCUGGUAGUGGGGGAUAACGUCCGGAAACGGGCGCUAAUACCGCAUACGUCCUGAGGGAGAAAGUGGGGGAUCUUCGGACCUCACGCUAUCAGAUGAGCCUAGGUCGGAUUAGCUAGUUGGUGGGGUAAAGGCCUACCAAGGCGACGAUCCGUAACUGGUCUGAGAGGAUGAUCAGUCACACUGGAACUGAGACACGGUCCAGACUCCUACGGGAGGCAGCAGUGGGGAAUAUUGGACAAUGGGCGAAAGCCUGAUCCAGCCAUGCCGCGUGUGUGAAGAAGGUCUUCGGAUUGUAAAGCACUUUAAGUUGGGAGGAAGGGCAGUAAGUUAAUACCUUGCUGUUUUGACGUUACCGACAGAAUAAGCAGCGGCUAACUUCGUG